UGAGCACGUCUUCUUAACAAAACCUGAAUAUUGAUGGUUUUUAAAUUCUGGUCUCUAAAGGACAAUAAGAUUAAUAAAGAAGAAAUAAACCCAAGAUAUGAGAUUAACUGUGUACAUUUAAGUAAAGAUUAAGUUAGGUAUAACAUACGGAACAAAUUACAAAUAGAGGUACCACCACAGUGUGGCCCUGUUUUAACUCUGCAGAGCCACCCACCUGAGGCUGGGGUUGGACUGGUGAGAGUGGCAGAUGGGUGGGCUGCCACUGGGAGUGGGGGAACCCAGGACCUGAAACUAAAACAUGUACCUCACCCCAGGACUUUCAAGGAGAAAGGAGAGAGGUCUGAGUGGGCUUUUGUCGGUGUACUAAGGGUCAGUGCUCCUAAGAUCAAGUAACAACCAUACCAAGUCUUAAAGGUAGGAAUUAGAGUAGAGGCCACAAACAACACCAUCAGUGAGGGUCAGGGGUCAGACAAAAACUGGGCCAAGCAUGGGGAAGAGUUUGGGAAAGGUAUAGCUGGUAUGCUCCCAUCAGCUCUUGGGAGGCUUGGCAGGCUCUGCCAUGAGGCUUUAUAAUGAAGGCCUUGUUUUGGGCUGUCAACCAGAGGGAAGUUGUGGGUGCUGGUGAGUGUUCAUGGCAAUAGGUACCUGUGGAAGGGUGGCACGUGGGCAUCGUAGGCAGGAAGUCCUUGAUAAGAUUCUUCCCAGCCUCCUCUCUCUGCUAUUAACCAAGGCUUUUGUGGCUUAACAACAGGCCAGCACCCCUCCCUCUGCUCGGUCAACCAUAUGUAGCCCCCUUUUCAUCUCUUGCUCUCCCAAAAUGAACUCAGAUCAUGAAAUGGUGCACCCAUGAGUUCGCACGUUUGAAACUUUAUUAACACCCCUGAAGUUCUUUCUUUUUGCAGAGGCCUCUGACAGAAGAUGCAAUUUCCCUAAACAGCCAGCUCCUGUUACUUUGGCAGACCUUUCAACCUUAGCCUGACAAGAAGCUUGUGUCCGCCUCCCUGCAUUAACUGAGUCUUUUUCCAGAAUCCCAGGGUGUGUCAGCAGCAGUGUGUGUAUUCCAAAUGGCUCACUGUGCAUGUUUCUUUAGCUUUCUUACAUCCUUUUGUUUUAUUAUUUCCAGCUUGGCCCGUAUUUGCCAUAUUUUUCCACUUAAUCAAAAGGUCGAAUGAAAGAAUGUCUAUUCAUCAGAUUUCCAUGGAACCAUGCCAAUAGGGAGUAUCAUGAAGGCGAGUUGUCCUGGCUCCCCACCUCCAUCCUGGCCCUGCUGCUCUCUGCUUCGCUGUGUAUGCACAACCCCACAGGUGCCUGUCUCCAGGUGGGAAUGGCCACUCUCCGGCUCUCCGCAUAUGGCUUCAGCAUUGUUUCAACCCCCUUCUCCAUCCUACCUUGCUGUUACAGUUCCAAGAUUUGUUUCUCACUAGUGUUUUAGGCCCUGCAACCACACUGUGUUUUUGAGAGAGAGUCUGACAUGUAUAUGCAGUACAUGCCAUUUGGCCUUUGCUUGAUACAUGUCUGCUUCUCUGCUGUUCUUUUUAAUUAAAAGGGAGAGAGGUAUGUAUACGAGCUGGAGCAGGACUGGGGCCGUUAAGACUUGAGCCUGGUCCUGGCUCUGGCAUUGAGUUUCCCGCUGACCUCAGGCAAGUUCCCUAAACCUUGGCUUUUUUACUGGCUUUAAUGAGUAGCCCGGCUGUUUCUUGGAAAACAUGUUAAAUAUGUUGAAAAUGCUAAAUAUUGAAAAUACUUUCUCAGCUGCAUCCUUUGGCAAAUUCCAGAUUCUUUUCUAUCCCUUUUUGGUUUUGCAAGGUCCAAGGUCAGAUAUCCUAGUUUCCCUCUGCCUAAGCCUCUUCAGUUAGCUGGCUCAGUUUUCAUGGAAAUAGGAAUAUGAGGCAUAGACAUUCAUUAACUGUAGCUGUUAAAAUUCCCAAGCAAAUCCAAGUAGAAUGUGGUUAUGAAAGCCAAGGCCUGUUGCCAAAGAAAGAUGUAUGUGUGUGUAUGUGUGCGUGUGUGUGUGUGCACGUAUGCGCGUGCGUGCAUUGUGGGAUAUGUGCUUAUUAUAUAACUUCUGAUCCUUGAUCCCUGGAUGUUAUCCAGUGAGUAGCUGGUUGGAUUUGGGGCUUAACAUGGCUUGGGAGCUGUUUGGAGCCUUGGUGGGAACUAGAUGACUCUGUGUUGUCUCAAUCCUGCUGUGUAAAUAGUCUCUUCUCCUGAUUCAUCUGCCACAGCCCAGCUGCUUUUCGGCUCCAGUGAUCCUGCUUACUGAGUCUCCCAGAGACAGAGAUCUGAAUGGUCGGUGAGGAGCCCGUCCCAGGCUGGCAGGAAGGAUUCUGGGCACUCUGGGGACAUCUUUCAUGUCCUGUACCAGCUCCGUAGACAUUUAGCUGAGGGAACGACCAUGAAUGUUUGGAGCUGAGCCCUCAGGCUCCUGUUGGUUUAGGUGGGACUUGAUGCUGUACCUAUAAGACAUCUUGUUACAUGAAGUGCGGCUGAUGGGAGAAGCAGAAGGAGUCUGGCUCUGUCACCCAAGCUAGAGUGCAGUGG